GGCUGUGCCCGCGUGGGUGUGAGAGGAGAAGUUGUAGAAGAGCAGUGUAUUUAGCAAAGUGCAAAGCACUGACCGCAAGGAAAAGGUGUGGUGUUUAUGGUUUCCCCCACAAAAGUCCAUCUAUGAAAGUGGAAGAUGUUGUGUCUUCAGGGGCUUUUUUCAGCCUGGCUAUGUGAAUUAUGGACGCAAUUUUUUUUUCUUCUCUGUGUCUCUGGUGCAUUUAGGUUAGUAAGUCUGUGUGUGGCAUGCUCUGAAGUCAUAAAAGUAAUACAUAGCAGAGCAGUGGUAGCUUGUGUGGGACCAAAGAGCUUGUCACAGCACUGCGCAAGCAAAGAUGGCUGAAAGUGUUGAGUUGCAGGGUGCCUCUUGCCAGGUGUUGGCACUUGCUGUGCAUUGCAUUUGUCCACUUGGCAACAAGUUCUGGAUGCAAAAAUAUUCUUUUGCUUUCUUUGAACAUACAGGAGAGGUGGGCUGACCCUGAACAACCAGACAUGCUAUGUGCUUGCUUCCUGCCUUGUUAGGACAGCGGAGAGAACUGGAGUGGCAGACACAAAAUAGAAGUCGUGAGUCAAGAUUAAAAAAAAAAAAAAGUCAGUAAAUUAAAGGGGAGAGAAAAAGAAGUAAGAAUGGGGGAGAAAAUUAUGCAAUGACUUUAUUUAAGAUUUGGCAGUGGACAUGAGAGUGUUUUGCUGGAGAUCUUCACCUACGUGAGGCCUUCUAAAGCGCACUGUCUUGGUGAGCAUUUGCCUGCAUUCCCAAGGAGGCUAAUCCAUCCUAGAUACAGUACGUGUAACUUCCGGGAAGUCUAAAGUGCUUCAACGAUAAGGAACGUG
rnacentral:lncRNA from 1 species